rnacentral:rRNA from 1 species
AGCGAACGCUGGCGGCAGACCUAACACAUGCAAGUCGAACGGAUCCUUCGGGACUAGUGGCGGACGGGUGAGUAACACGUGGGAACGUGCCCUUUGGUUCGGAACAACUCAGGGAAACUUGAGCUAAUACCGGAUGUGCCCUUCGGGGGAAAGAUUUAUCGCCAUUGGAGCGGCCCGCGUCUGAUUAGCUAGUUGGUGAGGUAAAGGCUCACCAAGGCGACGAUCAGUAGCUGGUCUGAGAGGAUGAUCAGCCACAUUGGGACUGAGACACGGCCCAAACUCCUACGGGAGGCAGCAGUGGGGAAUCUUGCGCACUGGGCGAAAGCCUGACGCAGCCAGGCCGCGUGAAUGAUGAAGGUCUUAGGAUUGUAAAAUUCUUUCACCGGGGACGAUAAUGACGGUACCCGGAGAAGAAGCCCCGGCUAACUUCGUGCCAGCCGCCGCCGUAAUAC